AAAUUGAAGAGUUUGAUCAUGGCUCAGAUUGAACGCUGGCGGCAGGCCUAACACAUGCAAGUCGAACGGUAACAGGAAACA
rnacentral:rRNA from 2 species